UGCAGCACCCACCUCCCCCUGCCUGUGCAUGGCCCAUCCUGGCAGCGUUACACCAGCACCCAGCACCCCGUGCCCCCGUCCCAGCCCCUGCAGAACGGGGUAGGGGGCAGCAGGGAUGUGACCCCUCCGCACACCCCUCCUGGCCCAGGAAGGAGCUGUCCCUGCGGGGCAGAGGAGCACUGUCCGGGGGGGCACACGUGGGCUGCACACAUGGGGCGCACCUCGAGGCUCCCACCCGUCCGGCUCAGCCCCCCCCAGCCCCCCAUCCUGCACUGCUCCAUCCCGCUGUUAACGGCUCGAGGCAGCGGGCUGGGGCUGUGUGCUCAGCUCCGGGACAAGAAAAUGAGGCACAUGCUGAAAAGCUGCACCCAGGGUAAGUCGAUUCAUUCCGGAUAGCGCGGGCUGUCAGGCUGCACUGUUGUCCUCUGGGACCUUAACGGGGGCAGCAGCAAAGCAGGGAGGGGUUGCACUGCAAAGUGACCCCCAGGGUCCCCAGGCCAUGCAGAGCAUGGUGCAGGGGGUGCCCAGGAUGCAGAGGAUGCGCGGGGUCUGUGGGGUUCAUGGGCUGCACGAGGGGUGCGCAGAGGGCACGGGGUGUGCAGGGUGCGCGGGGAGGGACCGCAGUGCGGUGACAUUGGAGCACCCCCAGGGCACAGCCCCCUCCUGCAGCCUCGAGGUGUGCAGAGCUGGGAGCACCCAAGGGUGGGAUCUGAUCGAGUCUCGCCCCUUGACCCCCCAGCAGCGGAUCCAGCCCGGGAUGCUGGGAGAGGGGGAGUGGGGGGUGAGGUGGGACCUGUGGUGUCCCAGGGACGUGGCUGUGCUGUGGCGUUCCUGGGGACAUCCGUCUGUCCCGGAGCUGAGAGCCCAGCUCCGGUGCUGGCUCUGGGAGCUGCAUCCCCAGCAGUGCCUGGCAGCUCCAUCCCCCCCUGGGGUGACAAGGACCCACUGGAGGCCCCCAGACGGGACCUCAGCACCCCGCAGUCCUCCCACCCCCAGCACCGCUGCCCCACAUCCCUCCGGGCUCUGCCGGAGCCCGGUCACCUCCCAGCCACUGUCCCCAGCACGUGGCAGGACACCAGGGACAUGCUGCUCACCGGGGCGAGGGGCUGGCAGCAGGCGAGGCCGUGAGGCUUCAGGACAAGGGACAAGGGACAAAGCCCCCUCCAAGGCGCAAGCAGGAGGCAGACUCGUGGCAGUGCCAGGGCUGUAUGGAUCCCCGGGGCCCUCACCAGAGCAAAGCCAGGGCCCAGCCAGCCAGAGGCAGCAGCAGCUGCGUGGCGCAGAGGAGGAUGACGGUGGGCGGGAAGAGCACGGUGAGGAAGGCGGCCAGGGCCGGCAGCAGCCCGUUGAGGAAGAUGUUGGCGACGGGCAGCAUGGCGCGCAGCAGGGCGAGCAGGGCCGGCAGCACGUGGUCGUGCGCAACGAACACGGGCAGGAGGAGGAAGAAGAGGCAGAGGAAGGCAGUGCGCAGCAGGAGGUCGCAGAAGGCCACGGUGACGACGAAGGACAGGAACUUGCGGAGCGGCUGCAGGGNNNNNNNNNNNNNNNNNNNNNNNNNNNNNNNNNNNNNNNNNNNNNNNNNNNNNNNNNNNNNNNNNNNNNNNN
ensembl:lncRNA